rfam:Bordetella genomosp. 13 strain AT7206, complete genome.
CUGCUAUCCGCCUAACGGGAAGCCCGUGUCGCGGAAGGUCUUCCUGCAUCGUACCGAGUGAAGCACUCGUCUAGGUGAAGCG